ensembl:lncRNA
AGAUAUAGAGCUCGGGGAGUCUGCAAACGGAAACAAUCACUUCUCCUUCAUGCUGCAGAGAGUGAACGCUGAUUGGCUGUUAUGUUAUGUCCCUCAGGGAGUGAACGCUCAUUGGCAUUCUGGGAGUUGUCAACUUCAAUCCUCAAGUGCCAAAAAAGUCACUGUCUGCAUGUUUUCGGUCAAGGAGGCACAAAAUCUGAAAUUUAUGUUACGGUGACAAAGAGCUUUCUUCACGCAAAUUGUUGUUGUUAGAAAGCAUCUCUUUACUUAAAACACAGCUCAACUGUCGAGUCACUUGCACAACUCCAGCCUCCCAGUCUAAAACUCUGGCCCUCUUAAAGAGCACCAGAAUGGGUGUGGCUCAAUUAGCCCACGAGCCACAGCUGCGGACUAUCACGGCUAACCAGCCAGACAGGAGCACGUGAAUCUUUUAAAACAUGUUUAAAAACAGUGAAGAUGCCAUUCAGAUCUUCACAUUACCUUCCCCCUCUUUUAAGCUUGCAAACACAGUUACAAGCGCAUUAGAUAAAAAAAAGGUAAAAUAUUGUGCAAGACAGUCAUUUGUGCCAAAUAAACAGUUAAAAAAGUCUCCGGUGACCGCCCAUCUCCAUUCCAAGAUCCCUCCUUCUUGGCGAAACACUGCACUCUUCGCAGUAAGUCCUCCGCCACUGCUGUUCUGCAAAGGCUAGGCAAUAGCUCCCCACAUGGCUCACGUCAGCAACAAGGAGUUACCGAGCUAUUCCUCCUUCAGGCUUUGGCCAACCCCACAGGACAGCAGUUCAACUUCCCCAGUGAUCUCCUCUCCUAGCAGGACUCUUCGUCUACCUGCUCUUCUUCACCGCGGUCCACCACGAAGCUCCUCGAACAAUGUUUUUCGAAAUGUGGGUCCCCUCCACUUGGCUAGAGGAAUAUCCCACCACUGCCACCAAAUGUGAAAAAGAGCUUUCUUCACGCAAAUUGUUGUUAGAAAGCAUCUCUUUACUUAAAACACAGCACAACUGUCGAGUCACUUGCACAACUCCAGCCUCCCAGUCUAAAACUCUGGCCCUCUUAAAGAGCACCAGAAUGGGUGUGGCUCAAUUAGCCCACGAGCCACAGCUGCGGACUAUCACGGCUAACCAGCCAGACAGGAGCACGUGAAUCUUUUAAAACAUGUUUAAAAACAGUGAAGAUGCCAUUC